rnacentral:lncRNA from 1 species
CGGUCCCAUUGGCCACUCCGCUGCUACUGGAAGGUAAUCAUAGCCUCCUGGUGUCGCACAUCCAUGGGAAUAAUGAAUUUAUUUGGACUAGAAACUAAGACCUGCUGGAAUGUCACCAGAAUAGAACCUCUUAAUGAAGUUCAAAGCUGUGAAGGAUUGGGAGAUCCUGCUUGCUUUUAUGUUGGUGUAGUCUUUAUUUUGAAUGGACUAAUGAUGAGAUUGUUCUUCGUGUAUGGAGCAUAACCUGAGGAUGUCAUGCCCAGAGCUGUAGCGGUCAUCUUGUGACCAUAAGGGAAAGGCCAUAAAAAUAGCAGAUAUAUCUGGCCUACCAUCCUUCUGCUGCUGAACCAAUGCCAACAGGGACUAUAUUAUUCCUAUUUCAAGACUAUUGUGGAAGCACCCUCAUUUUUGAAUGGAGUAUGGAUGAUUAUGAAUGAUAAACUGACUGAAUACCCCCUUGUCAUUAAUACAUUAAAAAGAUUCAAUCUUUACCCUGAGGUAAUUUUGGCCAGCUGGUACCAGAUUUAUACCAAAAUAAUGGACUUGAUUGCUAUUGAAACCAAGAUAUGUCGGACGGUUACCAGAGGAG